rnacentral:rRNA from 1 species
CCUACGGGAGGCAGCAGUGGGGAAUUUUGGACAAUGGGCGCCAGCCUGAUCCAGCUAUUCCGCGUUUGGGAUGACGGCCCUCGGGUUGUACACCACUUUAGUAGAGAACGAAAAUGAUCUCUCGCAUACAUCUCUCUGCUGACGGUACUCUCAACAUCAGCACCGGCUAACGACGUGCCAGCAGCCGCGGUAAUACGUAGGGUGCGAGCUUUAAUCGGAAUUUCUGGGCGUAAGGGGUGUUCAGGCGGCGGAGUAAGACAGAUGUGAAAUCCCCGGGCUUAACCUGGGAACCGCAUAUGUGACUGCUUGGCUAGAGUGAGUCAGAGGGAGGUGGCAUUCCACGUGUAGCAGUGAAAUGCGUAGAUAUGUGGAAGAACACCGAUGGCGAAGGCAGCCUCCUGGGACGCAACUGACGCUCAUACACGAAAGCGUGGGGAGCAAACAGGAUUAGAUACCCCGGUAGUC